UAUCGAUUAUGUCGGUUAUGUUUCAAUUUCAUCAUGUGGCUUUUGUUGACUAUCAUGUUGAUGUGUUUGUUUAUAAGGAAGUUGGAAAAAGUAGCUAAGCACAUGCUUGUGUGGUUUAAUCUCUGCGUUUUUUAGUAGGAUAUUUGGUUGAUUGAGUAUUAAAAAGUUUAACUUUUCAAUUAAUUCAUGGCUUAUUAAAAUAUUUGGUAAUAGUGUAAUGAAUAAUAUUAGUUUGUUGUGGAUCUUUUAAAUAUUGCAUGUAAUUUCAAUUAAUUCAUGGCUUAUUAAAAUAUUUGGUAAUAGUGUAAUGAAUAAUAUUAGUUUGUUGUGGAUCUUUUAAAUAUUGCAUGUAGUAAUAUAUUGAUUAAUAUGGCCAAUAGAUUGUGAGAUUAAAAGUCUGUUACUGCUGAUUUUGGUUUUGUAUCUUGCCAAGAAUAUGUAAAUAAAAAGUUAAGUUAUAGCAUAUGAAUGGUGGUACUCAUAAUUCUGAGUAGUAGUACAUAUAUUAUAAUUAUAUUU
rnacentral:lncRNA from 1 species